rnacentral:rRNA from 1 species
GGGUUGUGAGGUUAAGCGACUAAGCGUACACGGUGGAUGCCCUGGCAGUCAGAGGCGAUGAAGGGCGUGCUAAUCUGCGAUAAGCGCCGGUAAGGUGAUAUGAACCGUUAUAACCGGCGAUACCCGAAUGGGGAAACCCAGUGUGACUCGUCACACUAUCAUUAACUGAAUCCAUAGGUUAAUGAGGCGAACCGGGGGAACUGAAACAUCUAAGUACCCCGAGGAAAAGAAAUCAACCGAGAUUCCCCCAGUAGCGGCGAGCGAACGGGGAGGAGCCCAGAGCCUGAAUCAGCAUGUGUGUUAGUGGAAGCGUCUGGAAAGACGCGCGAUACAGGGUGACAGCCCCGUACACA